rnacentral:rRNA from 1 species
UACGGGGGGGGGCAAGCGUUGUUCGGAAUUACUGGGCGUAAAGGGCGCGUAGGCGGCCUACUAAGUCGGACGUGAAAUCCCUCGGCUCAACCGAGGAACUGCGUCCGAUACUGGCAGGCUGGAAUCCGGGAGAGGGAUGUGGAAUUCCAGGUGUAGCGGUGAAAUGCGUAGAUAUCUGGAGGAACACCGGUGGCGAAGGCGGCAUCCUGGACCGGUAUUGACGCUGAGGCGGCGAAAAGCUAGGGGAGCAAACGGG